rnacentral:tRNA from 1 species
GGCCGCAUAACUCAGUUGGCAGAGCAUUGGACUUGUAUUCCAAAGGUCGUAGGUUCGAUUCCCACCGUCGCCA